rnacentral:rRNA from 1 species
UGGGGAAUCUUGCGCAAUGGGCGAAAGCCUGACGCAGCAACGCCGCGUGGGGGAUGAAGGCUCUCGGGUGGUAAACCCCUUUCAGCAGGGACGAUUAUGACGGUACCUGCAGAAGAAGGACCGGCCAACUACGUGCCAGCAGCCGCGGUAAUACGUAGGGUCCAAGCGUUGUCCGGAUUUAUUGGGCGUAAAGAGCUCGUAGGCGGCUUAGUAAGUCGGAUGUGAAAACUCGGGGCUCAACCCCGAGACGCCAUCCGAUACUGCUGUGGCUUGAGUCUGGUAGGGGAACACGGAAUUCCUGGUGUAGCGGUGAAAUGCGCAGAUAUCAGGAGAAACACCGAUGGCGAAGGCAGUGUUCUGGGCCAGUACUGACGCUGAGGAGCGAAAGCGUGGGGAGCAAACAGG